CACACGUAGCGGCCAAGAUGGCGCUAGCGGUUGGAGCAGGGGCUCUGCUGCGACCUUUACGGUAGUGAGGUUAGGGACGAUGGGAGAGCAGCUUUGUUCCUGAAGUGCCGUCGAGGAUUAGGAUCGAGUUUCUUCGAUCGUGAGGGCAAUUAUUAGUGGCCUCUAGCCCCCCAGAUGGCAUCUUGAGGAGAGAGAAUCCACGCUACGAGAACUAACAUAGUGGACAUCGCAGUUGUCCGUAGCCGAUUUGCGGGUUACGGAGUUGUUGCAAGUAAAGAAGGGGAAAUCCGAGCGUUCUCGCGUUGGAUUUCCUCCACGUGUGAAGUGGGAAUGGUAGUGAUAUCUCGUGCUAUCUCUGUCAAGGGCAAGAAGGAGAAGGAAUUUAUUUGAGGCCCUACGACGUGAACUGCCGGGCACAGUGGCUCACUCCUGUAAUCACAACACUUUGAGAUGCCGAGUCGGGAGGAUCAUGAGGUGAGGAGUUUGAGACCAGCCUGGCCAACGUAGCGAAACCCCGCCUCUACUAAAAAUACAAAAAAACAGCCAGGCGUGGUGGCGGGCACCUGUGAUCCCAGCAACUCAGGAGGCUGAGGCAGGAGAAUAGCAUGAACCCGCGAGGCGGAGCUUGCAGUGAGCCGAGA
rnacentral:lncRNA from 1 species